rnacentral:rRNA from 1 species
AGUGAACGCUGGCGGUAGGCCUAACACAUGCAAGUCGAACGGCAGCACAGUAAGAGCUUGCUCUUACGGGUGGCGAGUGGCGGACGGGUGAGGAAUACAUCGGAAUCUACUUUUUCGUGGGGGAUAACGUAGGGAAACUUACGCUAAUACCGCAUACGACCUACGGGUGAAAGCAGGGGAUCUUCGGACCUUGCGCGAUUGAAUGAGCCGAUGUCGGAUUAGCUAGUUGGCGGGGUAAAGGCCAACCAAGGCGACGAUCCGUAGCUGGUCUGAGAGGAUGAUCAGCCACACUGGAACUGAGACACGGUCCAGACUCCUACGGGAGGCAGCAGUGGGGACUAUUGGACAAUGGGCGCAAGCCUGAUCCAGCCAUACCGCGUGGGUGAAGAAGGCCUUCGGGUUGUAAAGCCCUUUUGUUGGGAAAGAAAAGCAGCAGGUUAAUACCCCGCUGUUCUGACGGUACCCAAAGAAUAAGCACCGGCUAACUUCGUG